GACGAACGCUGGCGGCGUGCUUAACACAUGCAAGUCGAACGGAAAGGCCUCUUUCGGGGGGUACUCGAGUGGCGAACGGGUGAGUAACACGUGAGUAACCUGCCCUUGACUUUGGGAUAACUUCAGGAAACUGGGGCUAAUACCGGAUAGGAGCUCCUGCUGCAUGGUGGGGGUUGGAAAGUUUCGGCGGUUGGGGAUGGACUCGCGGCUUAUCAGCUUGUUGGUGGGGUAGUGGCUUACCAAGGCUUUGACGGGUAGCCGGCCUGAGAGGGUGACCGGCCACAUUGGGACUGAGAUACGGCCCAGACUCCUACGGGAGGCAACAGUGGGGAAUAUUGCACAAUGGGUGGAAGCCUGAUGCAGCAACGCCGUGUGCGGGAUGACGGCCUUCGGGUUGUAAACCGCUUUCGCUCAUGACGAAGCUUUGUGUGACGGUAGUGGGUAAAGAAGCACCGGCUAACUACG
rnacentral:rRNA from 1 species